rnacentral:rRNA from 1 species
AGGCCACUGCUAUUGGAGUCCGACUAAGCCAUGCGAGUCCAGGGGGGCUUUGCCCACCGGCGGACGGCUCAGUAACACGUGGACAACCUGCCCUCGGGAGGGGGAUAACCCCGGGAAACUGGGGCUAAACCCCCAUAGGCCAUGGGUGCUGGAAGGCCCUAUGGCUGAAAUUCCUUCGGGAGCCCGAGGAUGGGUCUGCGGCCUAUCAGGUUGUAGUGGGGGUAACGGCCCCACUAGCCUACGACGGGUACGGGCCUUGGGAGAGGGAGCCCGGAGAUGGACUCUGAGACACGAGUCCAGGCCCUACGGGGCGCAGCAGGCGCGAAACCUCCGCAAUGCGCGAAAGCGCGACGGGGGGACUCCAAGUGCCUACGCUCAGCGUAGGCUGUUCCCGAGCCUAAAAAGCUCGGGGAGUAAGGGCUGGGUAAGACGGGUGCCAUCUGUGACGGCAGUUACAGAUUUGACUUGCCGUCGCAAGGCAUAAGCCGCCGCGGUAAUACCCGCAGCCCGAGUGGUGGCCGCUAUUAUUGGGCCUAAAGCGUCCGUAGCCGGCCCGGUAAAUGCCUGGGUAAAUCGUCUGGCCCAACCAGACGAAUUCCGGGUAGACUGCCGGGCUAGGGACCGGAGGAGGGAGAGGGUACUCCAGGGGUAGGGGUGAAAUCCUGUAAUCCCUGGAGGACCACCGGUGGCGAAGGCGCUCUCCUAGGACGGGUCCGACGGUGAGGGACGAAAGCCAGGGGAGCAAACCGGAUUAGAUACCCGGGUAGUCCUGGCCGUAAACGAUGUGGGCUUGGUAUUGGAAAUCCCAUGAGGGUUUCCAGUGCCGUAGGGAAGCCGUUAAGCCCACCGCCUGGGGAGUACGGUCGCAAGGCUGAAACUUAAAGGAAUUGGCGGGGGAGCACUGCAACGGGAGGAGCGUGCGGUUUAAUUGGAUUCAACGCCGGGAAGCUCGCCGGGGGAGACUGCCGUAUGUGGGCCAGGCUGAAGACCUUGCCCGAACAAAAGGCAGAGAGGUGGUGCAUGGCCGCCGUCAGCUCGUACCGUAGGGCGUUCUGUUAAGUCAGGUAACGAGCGAGACCCCCGCCCCUAGUUGCGACUUGUUCCUCCGGGGACAAGGCACACUAGGGGGACCGCUGGCGCUAAGCCAGAGGAAGGAGGGGGCAACGGUAGGUCAGUAUGCCCUGAAUCCCUCGGGCUACACGCGCGCUACAAAGGCUGGGACAAUGGGUUGCCACCCCGAAAGGGGGAGCUAAUCCCUAAACCCAGUCGUAGUUCGGACCGAGGGCUGCAACUCGCCCUCGUGAAGGUGGAUUCCGUAGUAAUCGCGUCUCAAAAUGGCGCGGUGAAUAUGCCCCUGCUCCU